rnacentral:lncRNA from 1 species
UGCGAUGAGGCUGAGGAAGAUGGGGAGGUGUUCAAGACGCCCCGAGCCCCGCGAGGUGCGCGGGCGGCCAGUGCAGGCCCCUCGAGCUGCGCUUUAGGGGGGCUGGGGUGAAGACUGUCUCCUGGAAGGGGGUGCGCGCGCUGCUGGGGUCCCGGAGGACGAGGGUGAGGACAAGAAGCUGGAACUUCAAGGAACCUCAGGAGCUGACCCAAUCCACUUUCAUUUUAUUGAUGAAGAGAAUGGUGCAGAGUUAUUACAGAGCUGAUGAAAAGUUACAGGCCUGCAUCGCCAGCAGCACCACAGACAGAAUCCAGCCUUGGCCUUCAUGUCUACAUCCGGGACCAGCUGAGCAGUGCCACGUGCCCUUUGGAAGAGACCCCCCGCUGCCUGGUGCCCCCUGGCC